rnacentral:rRNA from 1 species
AUUGAACGCUGGCGGCAUGCCUUACACAUGCAAGUCGAACGGCAGCACGGGAGCAAUCCUGGUGGCGAGUGGCGAACGGGUGAGUAAAGUAUCGGAACGUGCCCAGUCGUGGGGGAUAACGUAGCGAAAGUUACGCUAAUACCGCAUACGAUCUAUGGAUGAAAGCGGGGGAUCGCAAGACCUCGCGCGAUUGGAGCGGCCGAUAUCAGAUUAGGUAGUUGGUGGGGUAAAGGCUCACAAGCCGACGAUCUGUAGCUGGUCUGAGAGGACGACCAGCCACACUGGGACUGAGACACGGCCCAGACUCCUACGGGAGGCAGCAGUGGGGAAUUUUGGACAAUGGGCGCAAGCCUGAUCCAGCCAUGCCGCGUGCAGGAUGAAGGCCUUCGGGUUGUAAACUGCUUUUGUACGGAACGAAACGGCGAGCUCUAAUACAGUUCGCUAAUGACGGUACCGUAAGAAUAAGCACCGGCUAACUACGUGCCAGCAGCCGCGGUAA